rnacentral:rRNA from 1 species
GACGAACGCUGGCGGCGUGGAUUAGGCAUGCAAGUCGGACGGUAGGGCUUUAUCGUAAGAUAGAGUUUGAGAGUGGCGAACGGGUGAGUAACACGUAGGAAUCUACCCUUAAGACGGGGACAACCCAGGGAAACUUGGGCUAAUACCGGAUGAGAGUGCGAGAGAUUGCAUUUAAAAGGAUGGCGAAAGUUGUCGCUUAGGGAUGAGCCUGCGGUCUAUUAGUUAGUUGGUGAGGUAAGAGCUCACCAAGGCGAUGAUAGAUAGGCGGCCUUAACGGGUGUCGCCCCCAUGGGAUUGAGAUACGGCCCAGACUCCUACGGGAGGCAGCAGUCGAGAAUAGUCUACAAUGGCCGGAAGGCUGAUAGUGCGACGCCGCGUGAACGAGGGAGCCCUUGGGGUGUAAAGUUCUUUUCUAUACGAGCAGUGCUAUAUAUAUGGAUAAUAUAUAUAGAGGAUAGGUAGUAUAGGAAUAAGCAACGGCUAACUCCGUGCCAGCAGCCG